CCGGGACUCGCACGUGGAGGUGGAGCGCGGACGCCUCCCUCAGCCAGGGCAAGACUAAGGAGCUGGGCGAACAGUCAGCUUCAACAAGCAGCAGGUUUGAUCAACCAUUCUUCUCAGAGCAAGAAACCUACCAUACUGCAUUUCUUCCUGCUAUCAUGUGAAGAAGAACGUGUUUGCUUCCCCUUCUACCAUGAUUCACGUGAGGACACAAGAAGAAGGCAUCUGUUUACACACCAGGAGGAGAGACCUCACAAGAACCCAAUCAUGAUGGCACUUUGAUCUUAGACCGCCAGCCUCCAGAACAGUGAGAAAAUAAAUUUCUGUUGUUUAUGCU
rnacentral:lncRNA from 1 species